AUGGUUACGAUGUAGAAAAAAAUAUAUCCGAGAUGUUGACAAAAAACAAGUGGGCCGACCCUGGUGAUAGUGCAGAAAGGGUCCAAGCUCCAUGGCACGAACAUUGUACGAUAAUUAUUUUUGAUAGUUCAUUGAACAACCAAUAGAUAAGAAAUGAGUAUUCCACAUUUCAUAUCAAGUUUUUUUUUUUUUUACAAGAGUACAAGAGCUAUUCUUGUUGACAUAGGACACAUGGAAGCUGCAGAGACAUUGCUUUUUCGAGGAAUCUGCGUGCGUCGCACGAUACAUAAACAUAGAAGGCACGGACGACAGGCGCGCAUCCCAUGCUCAUUAAGCACACAAACACGAAAGCAAGAUUCGGACGACACGGGUGUAACCUGCGCCACACGAGCGAGGGAAUAUCGUAGCUUUGAUGCUUUCCGACAGUUACAACGCGCACUGAAACAUCGCACACUGCACAUGUGUACCUCAGAGAUCGUUCCAACAAUUUCUGGGGCUAAAGUUGACGUUAACGACAUCAGGAAGUUAUCUAGAAGGAAGGUGGUACACAAAUCAUUCAAAUCACGCCCCAGCGAUGGCUUUCAAAGGACAACAUAACUCCAAUCUCUAAGGCCAUGCUUUUGCUGGCUGCAGACGGCAGAAGCAAUUCAAAAUUUAAAAUACAUCAUAAAAUUUCUUUCUACGAUAAACUAUAGCGUAAAAUACGGAGUGUUCGGUGGUUUGUUUUAUCUCGCAACAUAUAUACGUAGCUGGGCGCAACACGACACAAAAUACGAGUUUACUGGUUAAUAUAUUUGGCAUCACGGAGGCCACAACAACCUCACAAGUACGCAGGUGGCGCUGUUGUUUUUCCUGCGUCUUCAACGUGCCGGUCGCAUGCCGUUCGUUUGUGUGAGCUGCUUGAUCGUGUGGUUUUGUGUUUGCUUUAAUGAAAUGGGACGUAGUUAGCGUGCACAAAAGUGCCAGAAGAUACCUUGUGUUUCGUUGCAAACUCGCCGUAUGCGUGGCGCGCGAGGCAAACAUGGACCAACGAUUUUUGUGCCGUGGCCUUUGUGUCGGGUUGUCGUGCAAAGUUGGGUGGACAUCGCAAAGAAAUCAUUCCUAUUGGUAGCGUGCCUCAGAUCGUCCACUACGCAGCGGCAUGUAUGCUGGGAGUAACAUCGUCGACGCAGCACCGGCAACUUGGAGAGCGUCGUGCCAUUGAAAAGUGGUGAGGCCGUGACCCACAGCAGUGUCCACAUGAUGGCAGGGAACCUGUGGCCCUGGCUACAGCAGCACAGCGUGUAAUCUGGAUGUCACGUCAGGUGAACGAUCUUAUCUGGCCUGAAGUCCUAUGGCGGCAAUGCACGACCGCAUUGGGGAGGCUGAGGUUCAGGGCAAGAGCCUUUAUGGAAAGGGCAGUAACAGGCACAAGAAGGACCCAGUGAAGGAGGGAUUGGAUCCAGUUCAUCUGAAUGCUGUAAUUGGGCUGCGCAAGUGGACCCACACACACAGUGGCUAUACACGCACCUGGUCAUUCACAAACAUAUGCACACACUAGCAGGUCGUUCGGGAAUUUUGCCAUGCGCCAUUCCUCUUCCCGUUAAGGCACUCCGCACGUCUGACCACCAGGAGACACACUCUCGCUACCUUCGUGUGCACAGCCAUAAAUAAUGGCGGCACCAUGCAUCUGACAUUGGUUGAAGUUCAGCAUCUGUUCGUUCACGUUCCACCAAAUGAUAUAGAAAGUUACAUCCUCCAGCAAGUUCAGGACGACAAAUGUGCAGCUCAAAAGCAGCCUGUCCUCCAUGCUAAGCAGGGAGAUUAAGUAGCCUGGAAAGCAGGUGGUCCUGUAAAUACAGGGUGUUUUUUUUUAUCUGCACCAAAUUUUUAAAAUUAGAAAAAUAUAUACCUUGGUCACGUUAGCUUUACCAUUCGAGUGUACGGAUUGGCGGCCUCUAGAUACAGAGCAAUUUAGUCACUUAAGUGUGUAAUUAGUGAAGUUAAGCUAAUUAACUUUCUAAUUAUCAACUAUAGGUGGCUACAGCAAAUGAGUACUUUGGGGCCCGUCGUCGACACUACCUAUCCCAACGAUGAAAUUUUGAAUAGCGGAGUUCAUGUGGGAGCUACACGAGCAAUUAGUUCCCUUUGGCAAGCUUCUUGAAACCGAAUUAGGCCGCAAAAAGAGCGUCUGUGUCGUCGAUGUCACCGCCCCCCUGCCUUUCGUAACAUCUCCGAGGUAAGCGCCAGUCCGGCCCCGCGAGCAGCUUGCAUUAUUUCCUUGCUAUCUGCGGCGUUCGCAGUCGACGCUACAGACUGAUAUGAUGCCGUGCCUGCAGUAUCUAAAAGCCCAAUUUAAGGAGCAGGGUUGGCGCUACAGCGCAACAUGAUGCCCAACAGAAUGACGAAGUAAAUUUGGUGGCCCACCGUCAUUGAAGCGCUGGGCCACCGCUGCAGACAGACAGGAAAUAA